AGAGUUUGAUCCUGGCUCAGGAUGAACGCUGGCGGCGUGCCUAAUACAUGCAAGUCGAGCGGUAAGGUCCCUUCGGGGAUACACGAGCGGCGGACGGCAGAGUAACGCGUAGGAACGUACCCCAAAGUGAGGGAUAACUGCUCGAAAGAGUAGCUAAUACCGCAUGUGGUCUUCGGAUUAAAGCUUUAUGCGCUUUGGGAACGGCCUGCGUAAGAUUAGCUUGUUGGUGAGGUAACGGCUCACCAAGGCGACGAUCUUUAGCUGGUCUGAGAGGAUGAUCAGCCAGACUGGAACUGAGAACGGUCCAGACUCCUACGGGAGGCAGCAGUAGGGAAUUUUCCACAAUGGACGAAAGUCUGAUGGAGCAACGCCGCGUGCAGGAUGAAGGGCUUCGGUUCGUAAACUGCUUUUAUAUGUGACGAUUAUGACGGUAGCAUAUGAAUAAGGAUCGGCUAAUUCCGUGCCAGCAGCCGCGGUCAUACGGAAGAUCCAAGCGUUAUCCGGAAUUACUGGGCGUAAAGAGUUGCGUAGGUGGCAUAGUAAGUAGAUAGUGAAAUGAUGCGGCUCAACCGUAUGUCCAUUAUCUAAACUGCUAAGCUAGAGGGCGAGAGAGGUUACUAGAAUUCCUUGUGUAGGAGUGAAAUCCGUAGAUAUAAGGAGGAAUACCGAUGGCGUAGGCAGGUAACUGGCUCGUCCCUGACACUAAGGCACGAAAGCGUGGGGAGCGACCGGGAUUAGAUACCCCGUUAGUCCACGCCGUAAACGAUGGAUGCUAGCUGUUAUGGGUAUCGACCCUCGUAGUAGCGAAGCUAACGCGUUAAGCAUCCCGCCUGUGGAGUACGAGCGCAAGCUUAAAACAUAAAGGAAUUGACGGGGACCCGCACAAGCGGUGGAGUGUGUUCU
rnacentral:rRNA from 1 species